AGCGAACGCUGGCGGCAGGCCUAACACAUGCAAGUCGAACGAACCUUUCGGGGUUAGUGGCGGACGGGUGAGUAACACGUGGGAACGUGCCUUUAGGUUCGGAAUAACUCAGGGAAACUUGUGCUAAUACCGAAUGUGCCCUUCGGGGGAAAGAUUUACCGCCUUUAGAGCGGCCCGCGUCUGAUUAGCUAGUUGGUUGAGGUAAUGGCUCACCAAGGCGACGAUCAGUAGCUGGUCUGAGAGGAUGAUCAGCCACAUUGGGACUGAGACACGGCCCAAACUCCUACGGGAGGCAGCAGUGGGGAAUCUUGCGCAAUGGGCGAAAGCCUGACGCAGCCAUGCCGCGUGAAUGAUGAAGGUCUUAGGAUUGUAAAAUUCUUUCACCGGGGACGAUAAUGACGGUACCCGGAGAAGAAGCCCCGGCUAACUUCGUG
rnacentral:rRNA from 1 species